ensembl:lncRNA
AUGCAAUGGGGAAGACGACAGGUGAUUAGCAAGCUCAAUGGAGCAGUUCACAGGAUUGAUGAAGAAUGUAAUGAAGGUUUUGGUCUUACAGGAGAUUGUGGAUGGAACAAAUGGAGGACGGAUGACAACAGACAGCUCAGAGUAACGGGCAAUCAUGCUACAAACAUGGAGACAAGGGAGGAGACAGACGUUGGAGUGGAGCGCUGGAGAACACACUGGAGAAGACACAGGAGAACAUGUGCAAGCAAUUGUGUGUGAUUGGAGGACAUGAACGAUACACUUAAUGCAUCAUUCAAAAUGCACUGAGAGAAGGACGUGAAACGAAGGCUGAUGUCCAAGGAUCCUUCAUAUUGAGACAGGGUUUGAUGGUACUUGAUGACAUGGCAAAGAAGGUAUGCAGCCUUAGUAGGGCUGCAUUUCACUUGGCUUUUAUAUGCCCUUCUGUUGCUAACUUAUCUCCAUCUCGUUGAUUUGGCUGUACGCCUAAUACUGGCAGGAUCCUUGCAGUGAGUUGAAUCAGAAUAAAAUACAAUAGUACAUAGAUGUUGUGUAAUCAUACACUAAAUAACUAGAAACUUCCAGCCAGGUAUGUUGGAACUAAACUCUUACAGAAAUGUAUCCCUUCUGGAGAGGGAUUGGAUAUUGCUUUAAUUAUUCAUGUAAUAUCUUAAUAACUAUAAUAAGUUUUCCUUCCAUUUGCCUGGUCCUGAUUCUCCUACUAUUCUGUGUCUGUGUUAAUUAAGCACUGCUGUUUAAAGGGCCUUUACAAAGAAACUGUAUUUGACAGAGUUGUGUAUAGUAUGUAAUGUUUCGUUAAAAAUAAAAAUAAAAAAACAAAUCAAUACAAUGACAUUUAUUUAAUCAAGUCAAGUUAAUGGUCAAACACAAGUAGUCAUUCACAUGGUUUUGUUCUUUUGUUUGUCAUAUUGGUUCAAAAUAACAGUAGUUAUAACCCUAAAGGUCUGAGUCAUUAUGGCCAUUGACUCACAUAAACGGAUAAACAAAACAUAAUGAGUAAUUUCAAUGUGGAUUUGCAUAUAACGUCACAGAAUUGGAUUCCACUUCAGACUGAAACAAGUAAAUGUGAAUUUUACCUUAGAAAGGUCAGUGUGAAUCAAAUCUGGUUGAUGUCAUAUAAAGUAUUAAGGAAUUCAGCAAUAAUUAUUUAUUGAUUAAAGUCCAUAAAACACACACAUUCUGUGUCCUAUUCAUUGGCACACAGUUCCCUCACUCCUCUCCUUAUGCAUUUACAUUAGGCUACAGUAUGCUGCAUCUUUUUGUUUCUGUUCAGCUUUAUCUAAAUCAAGCUGGCAUAGGUUAACUGGGUGUGUUCAUUUAGCAUUUAACCUCAGUGCAAUUACAUAUAGAAAAAGGAGUAAAAGUGUCUGGUGUUGACAAUGAGAAGAAAACUUAUUGUAAUCCAUGAUCAUGAAAGGAAAAUGUGCAUGCAGUUUAUUUGCAUGUUUUGACAGAAUGACAAAUAAAGGUGAUGAGUGAAGUAACUAAGCUCAUUGUAAAGUUUUAUAUGGCAUAAUUUUAAGAGAAAGCCCAGUUGAAUGUAUCAGCACAAUGAUUUUAACAGCAGAGCCACAGAAUAGGUGAGAUCAGCUGUGUAGUUCCCAUUUUCUCCAGCAUGUAGAAUUGAAAUUGCCUCUGCAUAUCAUAAGAUGAUAUGACACCUGACAGAAAAAUUGAAGCCCUGGUUAUGGUUUAUGAAUGCUCAGGAAGGAAAUAUGGCAAGAUUGUGAGGAAGAGAAGUUACUAUUCUGAAUGUAGCAACGUUAUUCUUAGCCCUUUCAGAUGAACAUUUCCCAACUAAUCAGGCUGUUAAUUUGAAGAAAUUUCAUGACAAUAUAUAUGCCAAAGACAAUUUUUAGUGAGUAAACAAUUGCAUAAACUUUGUUAGUAUUUGGAAGCUUUGUUAAAGGGAUAGUUUUUAUAAUAUUCUAAUCCUUUAUCCAUUCAAACCUGUAUGACUUACUUCCUACACAAAAGAGUAUAUUUUGAAGGAUGUUUGUUUUGGAAAAUUAAUAUCUAUCUUUUUAACUUGAAUCAAACCCUAAGAUGUAUAGCCUUUCGUUUUCUGAAGCUAAACACUCCCAUAACAUGAUGUUGUCACCUCCAUGUUUCACAGCUGGGAUGGUGUUGUUCAGACUCAAAGCCUCACCCUUUUUCCUCCAUACAUAGUUCUGAUAAUUCUUUUUAUUUCAAGAGAGCAUGCAUG